GACGAACGCUGGCGGCGUGCUUAACACAUGCAAGUCGAACGAAGUGGCGAACGGGUGAGUAACGCGUAAUCAACCUGCCCUUCAGAGGGGGACAAAAGUUGGAAACGACUGCUAAUACCGCAUACUGAAGGAGGGGAUUGCGUCUGAUUAGCUAGUUGGAGGGGUAGCGGCCCACCAAGGCGAUGAUCAGUAGCCGGUCUGAGAGUAUGAACGGCCACAUUGGGACUGAGAAACGGCCCAGACUCCUUCGGCAGUCAGAAGUGGGGAAUAUUGCACAAUGGGCGCAAGCCUGAUGGAGCCAUGCCGCGUGUAUGAAGAAGGCCUUCGGGUUGUAAAGUACUUUCAGCGAUGAGCGUUACUCGCAGAAGAAGCACCGGCUAACUCCGUGCCAGCAGCCGCGGUAAUAC
rnacentral:rRNA from 1 species